GUGAACCUGCGGAAGGAUCAUUAACGAAUUUUAAGUCGGCCUUGCUGUGCUGGUGGAAACACAUGUGCACGCUCGGUCGCAAAUCCACACACCUGUGCAUCUAUGACUCGAAGUCGUCGUCGUAUGACCGAGAGUAACUUUUACACACUCUUGAAUGUAAAGGAAUGUUCAUGUGCAUAAUGUACAAUUAAACAACUUUCAACAACGGAUCUCUUGGCUCUCGCAUCGAUGAAGAACGCAGCGAAAUGCGAUAAGUAAUGUGAAUUGCAGAAUUCAGUGAAUCAUCGAAUCUUUGAACGCACCUUGCACCCUUUGGUAUUCCGAAGGGUACACCCGUUUGAGUGUCAUUGUAAUCUCACUUGUACAACUUUUUUGUUGUCGAAUGUGGACUUGGACGUCUGCCGUGUUUCAACGGCUCGUCUUAAAUGCCUGAGUGUACCCCGCUUUGCGGCGUAUUCGGUGUGAUAAACAUUUCACCGGAGUUUGGUCUUCUGACCGCGCUUUUGCAAUUGGUGGGCUCUAUGCUUUCCAACCGUCCCUUGUGGACAAAUCUUUGACAAUUUGACCUCAAAUCGGGUGGGACUACCCGCUGAACUUAAGCAUAUCAAUAAGCGGAGGAAAAGAAACUAACAAGGAUUCCCCUAGUAACGGCGAGUGAAGAGGGAAAAGCUCAAAUUUUGAAUCUGGUGUCUUUGACUCCCGAGUUGUAAUCUAGAGAAGUGUUUUCCGUGUCGGACCACGUAUAAGUUCCCUGGAACGGGGCGUCAUAGAGGGUGAGAAUCCCGUAUAUGCCGUGGACUACCGAUGCUCUGUGAUACACUCUCAACGAGUCGAGUUGUUUGGGAAUGCAGCUCAAAAUGGGUGGUAAAUUCCAUCUAAAGCUAAAUAUUGGCGAGAGACCGAUAGCGAACAAGUACCGUGAGGGAAAGAUGAAAAGCACUUUGGAAAGAGAGUGAAACAGUACGUGAAAUUGUUGAAAGGGAAGCGUUUGAAGUCAGUCACGUUUGUUGGGAUUCAGCCUGGCUUCUGCCUGGUGUAUUUCCUAGCCGACGGGUCAGCAUCAGUUUCGACCAAGGGAAAAAGACAUUUGGAAUGUGGCUGUCUUCGGGCAGUGUUAUAGCCUUGUGUUGUAUGCCUUGGUUGGGACUGAGGAAUGCAGCGCGCC
rnacentral:rRNA from 1 species